rnacentral:lncRNA from 1 species
AAUUUAAUAAAUUGAACCAAGAUCUUUGAUGAUGGCGUAUGAACCUCACUGCUAACGCAGAUACAAACAAGUUCAUCCACCCACCACCCACUGCUUCGACCAACACAACAAGUCUCAAAAGCGGCCAUUUCUAGCUAAACAAUCCAAGGUCAAACAGGAGCACUCCAAAUGUUGUGUUAAUACAAAAUUAAUAGCCAUUUGUCAUAGAAAGAAAAUAACGGUCGACAAUCCACGAGGAUUGGAAGCAAG